AGGCCUAACACAUGCAAGUCGAGCGGUAACACAAGGGAGCUUGCUUCUGAGGUGACGAGCGGCGGACGGGUGAGUAAUGCCUAGGGAUCUGCCCAGUCGAGGGGGAUAACAGUUGGAAACGACUGCUAAUACCGCAUACGCCCUACGGGGGAAAGGAGGGGACCUUCGGGCCUUCCGCGAUUGGAUGAACCUAGGUGGGAUUAGCUAGUUGGUGAGGUAAUGGCUCACCAAGGCGACGAUCCCUAGCUGUUCUGAGAGGAUGAUCAGCCACACUGGGACUGAGACACGGCCCAGACUCCUACGGGAGGCAGCAGUGGGGAAUAUUGCACAAUGGGGGAAACCCUGAUGCAGCCAUGCCGCGUGUGUGAAGAAGGCCUUCGGGUUGUAAAGCACUUUCAGUAGGGAGGAAAGGUGAUGUGUUAAUAGCACAUUGCUGUGACGUUACCUACAGAAGAAGGACCGGCUAACUCCGUGCCAGCAGCCGCGGUAAUACGGAGGGUCCGAGCGUUAAUCGGAAUUACUGGGCGUAAAGCGUGCGCAGGCGGUUUGUUAAGCCAGAUGUGAAAUCCCCGGGCUCAACCUGGGAAUUGCAUUUGGAACUGGCGAACUAGAGUCUUGUAAAAGGGGGUAGAAUUCCAGUGUACGGUGGAAAUUCGUGCCUAAUUUCGGGGGAUACCGGUUGCAAAAGCCGCCCCCUGGACAAAGACUUACGCUCANNNNNNNNNNNNNNNNNNNNNNNNNNNNNNNNNNNNNNNNNNNNNNNNNNNNNNNNNNNNUGUCUUACCCGGAUUUGGUGACUUAGUCACUGGGCUCCCAAGUUAACGCAUUAAUUAGACCGCCUGGGGAAUACGGCCGCAAGGUUAAAACUCCAAUGAAUUUACGGGGGCCCGCACAAGCGGUGGAGCAUGUGGUUUAAUUCGAUGCAACGCGAAGAACCUUACCUACUCUUGACAUCCACAGAAGAGACCAGAGAUGGACUUGUGCCUUCGGGAACUGUGAGACAGGUGCUGCAUGGCUGUCGUCAGCUCGUGUUGUGAAAUGUUGGGUUAAGUCCCGCAACGAGCGCAACCCCUAUCCUUAUUUGCCAGCACGUAAUGGUGGGAACUCUAGGGAGACUGCCGGUGAUAAACCGGAGGAAGGUGGGGACGACGUCAAGUCAUCAUGGCCCUUACGAGUAGGGCUACACACGUGCUACAAUGGCGUAUACAGAGGGUUGCAAAGCCGCGAGGUGGAGCUAAUCUCACAAAGUACGUCGUAGUCCGGAUCGGAGUCUGCAACUCGACUCCGUGAAGUCGGAAUCGCUAGUAAUCGUGGAUCAGAAUGCCACGGUGAAUACGUUCCCGGGCCUUGUACACACCGCCCGUCACACCAUGGGAGUGGGCUGCAAAAGAAGUGGGUAGUUUAAACUUCGGGAG
rnacentral:rRNA from 1 species